GAUGAACGCUGGCGGCGUGCCUAAUACAUGCAAGUCGAGCGAACAGAUAAGGAGCUUGCUCCUUUGACGUUAGCGGCGGACGGGUGAGUAACACGUGGGUAACCUACCUAUAAGACUGGGAUAACUUCGGGAAACCGGAGCUAAUACCGGAUAAUAUUUCGAACCGCAUGGUUCGAUAGUGAAAGAUGGUUUUGCUAUCACUUAUGGAUGGACCCGCGCCGUAUUAGCUAGUUGGUAAGGUAACGGCUUACCAAGGCGACGAUACGUAGCCGACCUGAGAGGGUGAUCGGCCACACUGGAACUGAGACACGGUCCAGACUCCUACGGGAGGCAGCAGUAGGGAAUCUUCCGCAAUGGGCGAAAGCCUGACGGAGCAACGCCGCGUGAGUGAUGAAGGUCUUCGGAUCGUAAAACUCUGUUAUUAGGGAAGAACAUACGUGUAAGUAACUGUGCACGUCUUGACGGUACCUAAUCAGAAAGCCACGGCUAACUACGUG
rnacentral:rRNA from 1 species